CAAAGGGCAACCUUCAUCACACACAACCCCAUAACAGGGCCUCAAGGCCGACGCCAAAAGUGGUGCUUGUGGUGCCAAGCAAGACUAACUGUAUGUGAGAUUUUGGUCCAUCUGUACACCAUCUUUGGGGUCCAGGCGUACGCCUCCAUGCUUGUCGGCGGUGCCCUUUCCUUCAACCUCGUCUUCCCCUCCAGCGAGCCAGACAUGUGGAGGCUCAUGGGGAUGUGGUG